AAUCAUGAAUUUUGAAGUAUUUGAAGUUUUCUUCGAAAAUGUAAUAUUUUUCGAAGAAAAUAUUGCAUAAAUAAUAAGUUCGGAAUGGAUAGAACUGCAUAAUAUUAAAUAUUCAACUAGAGAUUAACAUAAGUAACAUAAUGCGGUGAAGUGACACUCUCCAAUGGAGGAAAAUCGUUAUUUAGGACCGGUUGAGAAAAAAAAUAGUAUUCACUCAUCACCACUUAUUGCUGUAGAAUGAAGAUGGUAUGUUUUCAAGGCAAAUAGUUUUUCCAAUGGACUUCCCCAAUAGAGCACAUCAUUCGACUGGGAAUUCAGAGGUGAGUGGAUAUUCGAACUGAGUUGAAAAUAAUAUAUUCGAAAUCUGCAAUAUUUAAUGGAAAGCUGUUAAGGCUAUUUACAUUACCUGGAAACACCACUUCGACUCUACAGAAACUCUACCUUCAUGCGUUGUUGCAAUCAGCACCAGUAGAGAUAUUGACCUGGUAACCUAUUAUUGAACUAGUCUGUUCACCAGCAUCGCGGUUUAUAGUAAAUGGAAGUUAAGUUGUUCUGCAAUAUAAUAGAAAAGUUAAUAUUGUAUAGAAAAGUAGAUACAAUAUAAA